rnacentral:lncRNA from 1 species
UGAGAGGGAAUUCCAUGGGAAUUGUCAGGGGGAAUUCCAAGAGGGGAAUAAAUACUCGGACUUUUUAAUUGAUUUAAUUUAAUUAAUGUCCGCUCUAUAACCACAUUUAUCAUUAAACUCCAACAGAAAUAUUAAUUAGCAGUGGGCACAUAUUCCAUAGCUAAUUAAUUACCAUUAAUUAACGAACGGGAAGGAUCAGUUUUUAAUUAAAAUAUCCUGAAUUAAUUUGCAUUUCCCCCUUGCAGGUGAAGAAAACGCUCAAGAAACGAGUCCUGAACCCCAAAAAGGCUCCAGGCAGCACCAAGAAAAUCCCAAGCAGCAGCAGCAAGGCCCUGCCAGGGAAAAAGGAAAAAGUGAAGAAAAUUCUGGGAGAGAAGAAAGUGAAAAAAGCUCCAAAUGUGGGAGGUGAGGGGGGAAAAACGGGGGAAAAAUUGGGAAAAAUCC